rnacentral:rRNA from 1 species
GCGGCGGAGCAUGCGGAUUAAUUUCGAUGCAACGCGAAGAACUUACCAAGGCUUGACAUACACCGGUAACGCCCAGAGAUGGGUGUCCCUUUGUGGUCGGUGUACAGGUGGUGCAUGGUUGUCGUCAGCUCGUGUCGUGAGAUGUUGGGUUAAGUCCCGCAACGAGCGCAACCCUCGUCCUAUGUUGCCAGCGGGUCAUGCCGGGGACUCAUGGGAGACUGCCGGGGUCAACUCGGAGGAAGGUGGGGAUGACGUCAAAUCAUCAUGCCCCUUAUGUCUUGGGCUUCACGCAUGCUACAAUGGCCGGUACAAAGGGCUGCGAUACCGCGAGGUGGAGCGAACCCCAGAAAGCCGGUCUCAGUUCGGAUUGGGGUCUGCAACUCGACCCCAUGAAGUCGGAGUCGCUAGUAAUCGCAGAUCAGCAACGCUGCGGUGAAUACGUUCCCGGGCCUU